CUUCUGGAGUGCCUGGUGAGGGGUGGUUUGAGCAGUGUGGGGCAUGGGGUGGCCCUCACUGGGCACACCAACCAAGCCGAGCCCAUCCCUGCCCUAGGAAUUCAACCCAGAAGA
ensembl:miRNA Mir3550 microRNA 3550